rnacentral:rRNA from 1 species
GUAGUCCACGCCCUAAACGAUGUCUACUAGUUGUUGGGUCUUAAUUGACUUAGUAACGCAGCUAACGCGUGAAGUAGACCGCCUGGGGAGUACGGUCGCAAGAUUAAAACUCAAAGGAAUUGACGGGGACCCGCACAAGCGGUGGAUGAUGUGGAUUAAUUCGAUGCAACGCGAAAAACCUUACCUACCCUUGACAUGUCAGGAAUCCUCGAGAGAUCGAGGAGUGCCCGAAAGGGAACCUGAACACAGGUGCUGCAUGGCUGUCGUCAGCUCGUGUCGUGAGAUGUUGGGUUAAGUCCCGCAACGAGCGCAACCCUUGUCAUUAGUUGCUACGAAAGAGCACUCUAAUGAGACUGCCGGUGACAAACCGGA